AACAGUGGGCACAAGCCCCUCCAAGAGGGGAUCUAUUAAGCCGAAGAGCCUUCUAUCCUUGGGUGGGUUUGCCCAGAGGAGCCCCAGUCAGUUGGUAUCUGUUGAGUCGAGGGAUGGAGACUAAUCUCAAGGGAGUGAAUCCGGCUUUGGGAACAAGAAGAGAAACAAAGAGCCUCACAUUUUGAAAAUAACACAUAACGGGGUCCUACACUCAAGAGUUCAAGGUGUAGUCUUGGCCGACGUUGAGGUUGUUCUCUGCAUCGCACUGGUCUGAACGCAUCUCCAGAGAGAACAAACGGACAGGCUUCAUGAACGGGGGUGCAGGAUGCCUCACUCAACACCGUCCAGCGGAGAGUGGCUCCACCAGCUGACCAGACACCAGCCCAUCUUUUCAGUCUGCCGACGGAAAUACCGCACAUUCCAAUCUCAGGGAGCGCUCGCUGCUAGGUUUUCCUCCCUCCCUCCCGGUUCCAUGCCAGGAUGAUAAAUUCUGCGCGGGUCAUGGAAAAAUUAUUGAGCUAUACUACAAUGUGAAGAAGAAAGCGUGCUGGUUCAGUAUCUUGGAUGUCUGAGUCCUGGAUACUCAGCUUUCUAAAUUGGUGACUUGCCAUUUUGCUGACACGCUACUCUCUGUUAAGCCAAGCAUCCAAAGACUGGUUGGCUUUCAGUAUUUUGGUAAAAUCAUCGUCUGAAAAGUUGAGGAGUGGAUCUUGGAACAUUGGUACCCAAGAGAGGUGCACCUACGAGGGCCCCAUCUGCCUUGAUAAGCAUCACGUGAAGCUGAGACGUGUGAUGAAUCUUCACAUUAUAGCCGUAGCCCUUAUUUCCAAGCAUAUUAAAAUUCACUUGACAUUCCAAGUGCAAACUAACCCAAGCCUUGGGCUCUGAGAGACAUGUCAGGCAUAUCCAAGCCUCAGAGGUAUCCUUAAUAGGCAUAUGAUUAAUGUCUGGUGAAGAUUUACUCAAGUUAAGUUUUAUUUUGAGGUGAAAACAUGACACUGAGAUGGAAAUAAAUCAAAUGAUUAAGAACAGAGCUGCUGUUAUCACCACAUAAUCUGGCAAUAAAUCAGUGGAACAGAAUAUUUAUUUG